rnacentral:rRNA from 1 species
AUAUUGGACAAUGGGCGCAAGCCUGAUCCAGCCAUGCCGCGUGAGUGAAGAAGGCCCUAGGGUUGUAAAGCUCUUUCACCCGCGAAGAUGAUGACGGUAGCGGGAGAAGAAGCCCCGGCUAACUCCGUGCCAGCAGCCGCGGUAAUACGGAGGGGGCUAGCGUUGUUCGGAUUUACUGGGCGUAAAGCGCACGUAGGCGGAUUGGUCAGUUAGGGGUGAAAUCCCGGAGCUCAACUCCGGAACUGCCUUUAAUACUGCCAGUCUAGAGUCCGAGAGAGGUGAGUGGAACUCCUAGUGUAGAGGUGGAAUUCGUAGGUAUUAGGAAGAACACCAGUGGCGAAGGCGGCUCACUGGCUCGGUACUGACGCUGAGGUGCGAAAGCGUGGGGAGCAAACAG